AACAAGACCCCAAGGUACUUAAACUCCUCCACUUGGGCCAAGAUCUCUUCCCCUACCUGGAGAGGGCUCUCCACCUUUUUCCGACUCAGGACCAUUGUUUCUGAAACAAUGUCUUGGUCUCGUUUUUUUAUAUCACUAAAACUUAGCAGCUGAAAAAGAAUGUGUAGACGUUUUGAUAUCACCGCAUAUGAACUCUUGUGGUUGUCCACAACUAUGCAUUUAUAGUUGUUAUAUUCUCCUCCAAGAGGAGACAGGACAUGACACAGUUUGCCAUGCUUUAUUUACACAUAUGAGGCACAUAUUUGCUAUGGCAUUCUCACAGGACUACUACAGUAUUCACAUUUGCCUCUUUUCGGCAUUUCAACUCUGUGUCCUCAUUGUCCUGUUCCCCACAUGUGUGCUAUACAUCGGCCGUAGAUCAGCUCUCGCCAACUGAUCAUGACAGCAAGCGCUCGUGUCUGACGCCACCAAUGGCCGCAACAAUAGGGACGUAAUCGUGGCGCGUUAGCUGCAGUGCUUUGGCCUGUGCACAAAAAAAAAAA